UGGUUCUGGCAUCGAUGAAGAACGCAGCGAAAUGCGAUAAGUAAUGUGAAUUGCAGAAUUCAGUGAAUCAUCGAAUCUUUGAACGCAUAUUGCGCCCUCUAGUAUUCUAGGAGGCAUGCCUGUUCGAGCGUCAUUUCAACCCUCAGGCUCAGCCUGGUGUUGGGGCUCUGCGCCUGCAGUUCCCGAAAUACAGUGGCGGUUCUUCUAAAAACCCUGCGUAGUACUACUUCUCGCUUGGCAUUUUAGGCGGCCCAGCCUUUCAUAAUCUUAUAUAAAGUUGACCUCGGAUCAGGUAGGAAUACCCGCUGA
rnacentral:misc_RNA from 1 species